rnacentral:snRNA from 1 species
GUGCUCGCUAUGGCAGCAUAUAUAUUAAAAUUGGAAUGAUAUAGAGAAGAUUAGCAUGGCUUCUGCUUAAGGAUGACAUGCAAAUUCAUGAAGCAUUCUAUAUUUUU